rnacentral:rRNA from 1 species
UUCGCAAUGCCCGAAAGGGUGAACGAGCGACGCCGCGUGCGGGAUGAAGGGCUUCGGCUUGUGAACCGCUUUUCUUUGGGAAGAAGGUCCGUGUCGUGAACUCGGGCUCGACGGUACCAGAGGAAUAAGCCCCGGCUAACUCCGUGCCAGCAGCCGCGGUAAGACGGAGGGGGCGAGCGUUGUUCGGAAUUAUUGGGCGUAAAGGGCGCGUAGGCGGACCGGCGGGUCCGGCGUGAAAUCUCCACCGCUCAACGGGGAGAAGCCGCUGGAAACUACCGGUCUGGAGUUUGGCAGAGGGUCAUGGAAUUCCAGGUGUAGCGGUAAAAUGCGUUGAGAUCGGAAGGAACGCCCGUGGCGAAAGCGAGGUCCUGGACGUCUGCUGACGCUGAGACGCGAAAGCUAGGGGAGCAAACGGGAUUAGAUACCCCGGUAGUCCUAGCCGUAAACGAUGGGCACUAAGUAGAGGGGUUUU